rnacentral:rRNA from 1 species
GAUGAACGCUGGCGGCGUGCCUAAUACAUGCAAGUCGAGCGAACAGACGAGGAGCUUGCUCCUCUGACGUUAGCGGCGGACGGGUGAGUAACACGUGGAUAACCUACCUAUAAGACUGGGAUAACUUCGGGAAACCGGAGCUAAUACCGGAUAAUAUAUUGAACCGCAUGGUUCAAUAGUGAAAGACGGUUUUGCUGUCACUUAUAGAUGGAUCCGCGCCGCAUUAGCUAGUUGGUAAGGUAACGGCUUACCGAGGCAACGAUGCGUAGCCGACCUGAGAGGGUGAUCGGCCACACUGGAACUCAGACACGGUCCAGACUCCUACGGGAGGCAGCAGUAGGGAAUCUUCCGCAAUGGGCGAAAGCCUGACGGAGCAACGCCGCGUGAGUGAUGAAGGUCUUCGGAUCGUAAAACUCUGUUAUUAGGGAAGAACAAAUGUGUAAGUAACUAUGCACGUCUUGACGGUACCUAAUCAGAAAGCCACGGCUAACUACGUG